rnacentral:rRNA from 1 species
GAUGAACGCUGGCGGCGUGCCUAAUACAUGCAAGUCGAGCGAACAGACGAGGAGCUUGCUCCUCUGACGUUAGCGGCGGACGGGUGAGUAACACGUGGCUAACCUACCUAUAAGACUCGGGUAACUUCGGGAAACCGGAGCUAAUACCGGAUAAUAUAUUGAACCGCAUGGUUCAAUAGUGAAAGACGGUUUUGCUGUCACUUAUAGAUGGAUCCGCGCCGCAUUAGCUAGUUGGUAAGGUAACGGCUUACCAAGGCAACGAUGCGUAGCCGACCUGAGAGGGUGAUCGGCCACACUGGAACUGAGACACGGUCCAGACUCCUACGGGAGGCAGCAGUAGGGAAUCUUCCGCAAUGGGCGAAAGCCUGACGGAGCAACGCCGCGUGAGUGAUGAAGGUCUUCGGAUCGUAAAACUCUGUUAUUAGGGAAGAACAAAUGUGUAAGUAACUAUGCACGUCUUGACGGUACCUAAUCAGAAAGCCACGGCUAACUACGUG